rnacentral:rRNA from 1 species
UACGGAGGGAGCUAGCGUUGUUCGGAAUUACUGGGCGUAAAGCGCGCGUAGGCGGCUUUGUAAGUUAGAGGUGAAAGCCCGGGGCUCAACCCCGGAACUGCCUUUAAAACUGCAUCGCUUGAAUCCAGGAGAGGUGAGUGGAAUUCCGAGUGUAGAGGUGAAAUUCGUAGAUAUUCGCAAGAACACCAGUGGCGAAGGCGGACUCACUGGCCCGAUACUGACGCUGAGGCACGAAAGCGUGGGGAGCAAACAGGG